GGGCGCCAGGACCUCGCGCUGGAGCCGCGCGGCCGCCGAGCUUCGCUGUUAUUGUUGAAGAAUCUCUUGGCUUGGACUCAGUUCACUCCCUGACAUUGGUGAUGAAGUAGUGACUCCGCCUGCUGCAGAAGGCUUUCCUCUGCUAAAUGCCUCCCAGCAUGUCUG